rnacentral:lncRNA from 1 species
UUAGCACAAAACAUCCCUACCUUUCGAUAUUUUUGUGGAAAACGUCCAUACCUUUCAUUUUUUGGUGGAUUACACCCUUACCUUUACAUUUUUUUGCGCAAAACGUCCUUCUGUCAACUCUCCGUUAAAAUGCUCCGUUAAAUCGAAAAGGUAAUUAGCACAAAAGGUCCCUACCUUUCAAAGUUAUUGUGCAAAACGUCCCUACCUUUUAUUUUUUAGCAUAAUUAGCAGAAAAGGUCCCUACCUUUCAAUAUUAUUGUGCAAAACGUCCAUACCUUUCAUUUUUAGCAUUUUCACCCCUACCUUUCACCUUUCAUUGCAAAAAAGGUCAUUCUCAUCCAUUUUUUCAAUAAAAUGACGAUUUUUCCC